GCCUGGUUAGUACUUGGAUGGGAGACCGCCUGGGAAUACCAGGC
rnacentral:rRNA from 1 species